AUGUGUGCAUCUUCAAAUGAUAAAUCUCUCCAAGAGUUUGAAGACACUAGAGCAUUUUGGAUGCCAUGUUUUCUAUAAAAUCCUCUUGAGAUGACUUCAUAUCAUAAACCGUGUAAUCUGAGGCCUUUGAGAAUUGAAGUUUAUUUUUAUCUAUUCACAAGAACUUUUGAUCAUUUGUAAUGAUCACCAUGCAGUUCAUCAAUACAAAACUAAGUGUUCUCCUAAAGUAGAGUCUUCUUGUGAUUUGUCUUGCAAGUAUCCUCAAAUGGUGGGUCUCUCCUCUAAGUUGUUAUGAUGUGUUAGGAGUGUGACCAAGUGUCCCCUAGAAGAAUACUGAAUUUACUUCAUCCCUAGUGGAAUCCUAAGCCUGGUAUCCCCAACUACAACUUUGAUUCAAGUUUCUCCAAUUAUUGAUGAUCGUUUCUCUAGCGGAUCUUUCCUUUCCUUGUAGCAGAUUUCAUGUUGUUAUCCCAUCUAUGGAUCUUUAAUGUUAGAAGAUUUAAUUUUUGGGUUUUUCCCGAGAAGUAUCUUCCUCUCCCUAGAAAGAUUUGAGCCUUGUAGUAAGACUUUGCUCCAUUGAUGGACUUCUUAUUUAUCUCUAGUGAUAUUUUCAUCUUGUUGAGAUUAGCCGAGUAUCCAAUUGUACUGUGAUGUUUAUUUCAUCCCAGGUUUAUCUAUUUUGUCUGUUUUGUCGGCAUAAACAUAACAUGACAUUUAUUCAUUCAUUUACACAUCAUACAAAUUCAUAUUCAUCUUGCAUCUUCUUCUUGUUGUUUAUUUUAUUCACUUUGGUUGUGUUUAUCCCCAAGUGAUAUAUUUCCUCUCUCAAAUAGAUCUGUCAACCUUAAGCAAAAAGUGUAUAUCCUUUCUAAUUCCCCACUGAGUUUAUUCCUUGUGGAAGAUUUUGCUUUAGCUUUCCUUUCCAUUCAUGGACGGGAUAAAUCCACAAUUGAGUUCAUCCCUCAUUGGAUAGAGUCUUGUUUGACUAUUUCUCUC
rnacentral:lncRNA from 1 species